UACCAGCACCCCGAGUGGUCGGGACUUUUAUUGGGCCUAAAGCAUCCGUAGCCGGUUCUACAAGUCUUCCGUUAAAUCCACCUGCUUAACAGAUGGGCUGCGGAAGAUACUAUAGAGCUAGGAGGCGGGAGAGGCAAGCGGUACUUAGUGGGUAGGGGUAAAAUCCGUUGAUCCAUUGAAGACCACCAGUGGCGAAGGCGGCUUGCCAGAACGCACUCGACGGUGAGGGAUGAAAGCUGGGGGAGCAAACCGG
rnacentral:rRNA from 1 species